ensembl:lncRNA
CCUUCAUCUCUGACCACAAGCUCCACACAGUUCUGAAGUUUUCCACAAGGUACUUGUUUACAUCUAGUGCCUGUACAUCUAGUACAUCUCAGAGGCUGAGUCUGAGAAAGGUUACACUAUCUAGACACAGGUCUAGGGAUGCAUCAGGACCUGAGGGACAAGCCAGUCUGUAGAUCCUGGAAGCACAAGAGUAGAAGACUCAACAGCAAAGAAAACAGAAAAAACUAGAGCAUGGCCUGUGUCCUCAUGGCGCUUCCUAUUAAGCUGAGUGGAUGCCACGAUGAGGUAAGCAGCUUCCUCUAACACAAAGUCCUGCCAUAAUGAACCAUGUGCCUUGCUACAGUCCCAAAAGCAACAGGCCAACCAACUGUGGACUGAAACCUCCAAAACUGUGAGCCAAAAUAAACCUUUCCUCUUUCUAAGCUGAUUAUCUGAGGUAUUUGUUAUAGCAAUAGAAAGCUGACUAAAAUAGCCUACAAUGGAUUGCAAUACAUCAAAUAUGUUAAAAAUCUGUAUGUUCAUAAAGACACAGAAAAGAAUUUGUUAGUUUUGGAGGUUGUUAGGAAAACAAGACAUUAUCCUGAAAACUAGUAAAGAAUCAAGCAUUUAUUGUAGCUUUCCCAUGUAAACUCUAUCAUUGAAAAUAAAAAAUUAGUUGAUUAAAAAAAAGUUCAGAAAGAAUGUGUUUCCUUGUGGUCACAGUUCCUGUGAAGCAGCUCCUCUUCCACAGACACAGCUGUCACUUAGUUCCUGGAACACUGUCCUUUCCCCAUGCACCUUCAGGGCAAAGGAUGCUGUAUUAGUUUGCAAGGGCUGCUGUAAUAAAGAACCACAAACUGAGUGACUUAAACAGCAGAAUUGUAUUAUUUCACAGUUCUGGGGGCUAGAAGUCUGAGAUCAAGGUGUCAGUUGGGUU